rnacentral:rRNA from 1 species
AUUGAACGCUGGCGGCAUGCGUAACACAUGCAAGUCGAACGGUGUUUGGUGCUUGCACCAGACAUAGUGGCGGACGGGUGAGUAAUGCGUAGGAAUCUGUCUUAGAGAGGGGGACAACCCGAGGAAACUUGGGCUAAAACCGCAUAUUCUCGAGAGAGGAAAGCAGGGGACCGGAAACGGCCUUGUGCUCUAAGGUGAGCCUACGUCGGAUUAGCUAGUUGGUAGGGUAAAAGCCUACCAAGGCGAUGAUCUGUAGCUGGUCUGAGAGGACGGACAGCCACACUGGGACUGAGACACGGCCCAGACUCCUACGGGAGGCAGCAGUGGGGAAUAUUGGACAAUGGGGGGAACCCGUGAUCCAGCGAUGCCGCGUGUGUGAAGAAGGCCUGCGGGUUGUAAAGCACUUUCAGUGGGAAAGAGAAGCGUCUUGUGAAUAAUGGGACGUGGAGACGUUACUCACAGAAGAAGCACCGGCUAACUCUGUGCCAGCAGCCGCGGU